rnacentral:rRNA from 1 species
GUUUACGGCCAUACCAGCCUGGGUACGCCCGAUCUCGUCUGAUCUCGGAAGCUAAGCAGGGUCGGGCCUGGUUAGUACUUGGUUGGGAGACUGCCUGGGAAUACCAGGUGAUGUAAGCU